rnacentral:rRNA from 1 species
AGCAGCCGCGGUAAUUCCAGCUCCAAUAGCGUAUAUUAAAGUUGUUGCAGUUAAAAGCUCGUAGUUGAAUUUCGGGGUCAGUAGGUCGGUCGUGCCACUGGUAUGAACUGGUUUUACUGAUUCCUCCCUCUUGAAGAACUGUAAUGCCAUUAAUUUGGUGUUGCAGGGAAUCAGGACUGUUACUUUGAAAAAAUUAGAGUGUUUAAAGCAGGCUUUAGCUUGAAUACAUUAGCAUGGAAUAAUGAAAUAGGACGUUUGAUCCUAUUUUGUUGGUUUCUAGGAUUGACGUAAUGAUUAAUAGGGAUAGUUGGGGGCAUUAGUAUUCAAUUGUCAGAGGUGAAAUUCUUGGAUUUAUUGAAGACUAACUACUGCGAAAGCAUUUGCCAAGGAUGUUUUCAUUAAUCAAGAACGAAAGUUAGGGGAUCGAAGACGAUCAGAUACCGUCGUAGUCUUAACCAUAAACUAUGCCGACUAGGGAUCGGAUGAUGUUAAUUUUUUAAUGACUCA